rfam:Hydrogenivirga sp. 128-5-R1-1 1102927038513, whole genome shotgun sequence.
CGGGGUGUAGCUCAGGUGGCAGAGCGUCGGCUUUGGGAGCCGAAGGUCGCAGGUUCAAGUCCUGCCACCCCGA